CACGUAGGGCGCAAGCGUUGUCCGGAAUUAUUGGGCGUAAAGAGCUCGUAGGCGGUCUGUUGCGUCCGCUGUGAAAACUCGGGGCUUAACCCCGAGCCUGCAGUGGAUACGGGCAGACUAGAGGUAGGUAGGGGAGAAUGGAAUUCCCGGUGUAGCGGUGAAAUGCGCAGAUAUCGGGAGGAACACCGGUGGCGAAGGCGAGUCCCUGGACAACUUCUGACGCUGAGGCACGAAAGCUAGGGGAGACGAAACAGGAGUUAGAAAACCCAUAUGUA
rnacentral:rRNA from 1 species